CCAGGACGGAGCCGGCCAGAUGCGGGAGGGCAGGAUUUGGAGGCCAGGACCAAGGGCCAGGGAGGCGGGUUAGGAGGAGGAGAGGGAGCGGGCUGCCCUUUGGGUCUGUCCCCCAAAGGCCUUGUGGCUCAGCACAGGGCGGUGCAGAGCGGGGUGUACAUAGGCACAGGGGCACAGCCCUGCAGCUCCCGCUUCUGGGAGGCCAAGUACCUCCUGAUGGCCCAGCGAAGCCUGCAGAGAGGAGGCCGACGUCCACGCGGGCUUUGAAGGAUGGGAAAAGAGGCCUGGCGCAAGGGGGCAGCUGGGGAACAAAGCCUGCGGCCGGAGUGUGAGGGCGCAGGCCACAGGGGGCCGCGGGAGGUCUGGGAACCGCCGCGACGGCUCCUCCCGAGGCCCCAGGGCGACCCCCCCUGGUGCUUCAGGGUCCCGGAGGCCGCCCGCCCCCACCGCCAGCCGCACACUCCGCCCUGUGGCAGGGCACCCCGCGCCCCCACCCGCACUGCCCUGGCUCGGGCGGGCGCAUUCUUCUGCUUGGCUGUACGUCGGCCUGUCCCUCCGCGCGUCCGUCUGUCGGUCUUUCUUCUCUCGCCCCCUCCGAAGUCGCGGCCCCAUUCAUUCCCGAGGCCUCUGCCCUUUCCUCCGCGCGGCCGGGCUCGGCGAGCAGCUGCUAUGCUAAUGAGGGCGGGGGGGCGGGCGCUGGCCGGGGGGCGGCGAGGGAACCCGCGUGCGGAGGCUGGGGGCUCGGCAGGUCACGGCCCGGGACCCGCGGCUCUUUCCGGAGGCCCCCACCCGCGCGCCCACCCGACGCCGCUGCGCGUGGGGCUCCGGUGCGCCCCGCGGGGGUGGGGGUCUGAGCCGAGACGGACGGUCGGACGCCCCGCCCGCCCCGGGCCUGAGUGGUUGGACGCCGGAGGAGAGUACGGGUGGGAUCCGCCAAGAGGACGGACCCCGGCGCGCGGCGAUACCGGGACGGGGCGGGGGUGGGCCCGAGCGGGAGACACGAACCCCAGCCGCCCACCCGGCGUCCGAGGGGCGGCGAGCCUGGCCACCGGACCUAGGACGCCCCGUGCCCAGGCCCCCACCUCGCCCCCGCCUCGGGCGGCAAUCCCCUAGAGGGCCGGGCGGGCGCGUCCGCAGUGGGUGGGGGGCUUUCCGGUGCCGUGUCUGCUCGGGCGCGUGCGCGGGCCGAGCGCGGAGCUCGGGCUCUGCUGCCCUCCUGCGGCCGCGGCGGGCACUGCGCCCGGGGGGCCUGGGGACCGAGGCGCCACGACCCCCGCGGGCCCCUCGCCACACCCGGGCGCCGCCGCCCCGCCUGCUGCGGACGCCGGGCCACGUCGUCGGACCAGCGCCCCGCACCCGCACUGGGUCUGGAGCGCGCCCUCGUCUCGG
rnacentral:lncRNA from 1 species